UACGGAGGAUCCUAGCGUUAUCCGGAUUUAUUGGGUUUAAAGGGUGUGUAGGCGGAUUGGUAAGUCAGCUGUUAAAGUUUAAGGCUCAACCGUGAACUUGUAGUUGAUACUGUUGGACUUGAGUAUACCUGAGGUGAGCGGAAUUUGUGGUGUAGCGGUGAAAUGCUUAGAUAUCACAAAGAACUCCAAUUGCGAAGGCAGCUCACUGGGGUAUAACUGACGCUGAUGCACGAAGGUGUGGGUAUCAAACAGG
rnacentral:rRNA from 1 species